GUCUGAGGAGCCCUGCUGUGCCCCAGCUGUCCCGGUGAAGCACAUACCGGCUGCUUUCCCUCGAGGUGAGUUGGGUAACGACUUGUAAUCAAAACCUCCUGCUCACUGGACUACAUUCUGAAGGGAUCCGGGAGGAACUGUGGGAGCUGGUCACGACAGCGGGGCUCUCUGUGGAUCUGGCUUCUCCUGGGUUGGACAGUGAAGCAGGUUUGCUUGGCGCUCCGUACACAAGUGACUGCAGAGGGCAGAGAAGUGAGCCACAGUUUUAGGUCCCAGUGAUGCUGAAGGAUGUGUGUUUAGAUCCUUUCCCACAUGUGAAUGCUAGUGGGUAGGGUAAAGGCACUAUUUGAUUUACAAAUGAACUGUCAGAGUUUUGGAUUUAGCGUUGAUCUCGA